rnacentral:rRNA from 1 species
GUUUGAUCAUGGCUCAGAGCGAACGCUGGCGGCAGGCCUAACACAUGCAAGUCGAGCGCCCCGCAAGGGGAGCGGCAGACGGGAGAGUAACACGUGGGAACGUACCCUUUGGUUCGGAACAACCCAGGGAAACUUGGGCUAAUACCGAAUAAGCCCUUACGGGGAAAGAUUUAUCGCCGAAGGAUCGGCCCGCGUCUGAUUAGCUAGUUGGUGAGGUAACGGCUCACCAAGGCGACGAUCAGUAGCUGGUCUGAGAGGAUGAUCAGCCUCACUGGGACUGAGACACGGCCCAGACUCCUACGGGAGGCAGCAGUGGGGAAUAUUGGACAAUGGGCGCAAGCCUGAUCCAGCCAUGCCGCGUGGGUGAUGAAGGCCCUAGGGUUGUAAAGCCCUUUCGGCGGGGAAGAUAAUGACGGUACCCGCAGAAGAAGCCCCGGCUAACUUCGUGCCAGCAGCCGCGGUAAUACGAAGGGGGCUAGCGUUGCUCGGAAUCACUGGGCGUAAAGCGCACGUAGGCGGAUUGCUAAGUCAGGGGUUAAAUCCUGGAGCUCAACUCCAGAACUGCCUUUG